rnacentral:snoRNA from 1 species
CUCUUUUCUUGGGGAGGGGGUGUCAUGAGCAUGAUGAUUGAGUAUUCACCACUGUGUAACAUAUGCCUCCAACAAACCUUGUUACAACCAUAUCAGUACACUACCUAUCUAAUG